AGUUUGUUUGUUUGAGACAGAGUCUCGGUCUGUCACCCAGGCUGGAGUGCAAUAUGUGCAAUCCUGGCUCACUGCAACUUCCACCUUCUGGGCUCAAGCGAUUCUCCUGCCUCAGCCUCCCAAGUAGCUCUAAUUACAGAAGCAUGCCAUACCUAAGACCUACUACCCUGAGAAGCAGUGAAGUGCUCCUGGGGCCCACCAAGGCCACACAAGUCAAGGAGUGGAUGGCCUUGCUCCAGCUACUGCUCAGAUCACCUUUGCAAGAUGACAUUGUGUUGGGAGAUGGUCAUCAGAGCCAGGGCCAUGGAAGAUGCUGUCAGGAGGCACGAGGAAAGGCUAUGGGAGCACAAAGCAAGAAAGUGGCCUUCUGCAAGCCAGGAAGAGAGGCCUCCCCAGAAACCAACUCUGUGAGCUCAUCGAUCUUUGACUUUUGGCCUCCAGAACAUUGAGAAAAUAAAAGUCUGUUGUUAAACCACC
rnacentral:lncRNA from 1 species